rnacentral:rRNA from 1 species
UGGGGAAUAUUGCACAAUGGUGGGAACUCUGAUGCAGCGACGCCUCGUGAACGAAGAAGGCUUUCGAGUCGUAAAUUUCUUUUCUAUGGGAAGAUAAUGACGUUACCAUAAGAAAAAGCCCCGUCUAACUACGUGCCAGCAGCCGCGGUAAUACGUAGGUGGCUAGCGUUGUCCGGAAUCACUGGGCGUAAAGGGUUCGCAGGCGGAAAUGCAAGUCAGGUGUAAAAGGCAGUAGCUUAACUACUGUAAGCAUUUGAAACUGCAUAUCUUGAGAAGAGUAGAGGUAAGUGGAAUUUUUAGUGUAGCGGUGAAAUGAGUAGAUAUUAAAAAGAAUACCGGUGGCGAAGGCGACUUACUGGGCUCAUUCUGACGCUGAGGAACGAAAGCGUGGGUAGCAAACAGG